rfam:Dipodomys ordii contig_7473, whole genome shotgun sequence.
GGGAAUGUGGCUUAAUUAGUGGUAGAGUGCUUGCCUAGCAUGCAUGAAGCCCUAGGUUCAAUUCCUCAGUACCA